AUUAUUUUCAUUUUUAUACAAAAUGGUCAUUAAUCAAUAUAUACAAUGUUGACGAAUUAAAAUUAUGAUAUCUACCUUUGUCAAAAGCUUUCCAAUAAUUGAGUUAAUUAUGCUGACAAAGAAAAUGGUGCAAUUUGGCUGAGGAUCAUGUUAAGUAAAAAAUUAGUUACUUAAAUAAGAAGAUUUUCUAGUUUUGAUAGACAAAUAAAAUUUUUCACAUUAUGCCUAUUAGUUGAUCUCAGAAGAUGCAUCAUGUUAAUUUUGGUGAAUUUUUAUUCUUUUGAAUUGUUAUAAUAUUCAUAAAUUGGAAAAAUCUAGACUUUAUAUCCAAAAGGGAUUGAAAUAAAUUUUUUAGAACAAAUGUUAAAUCUUGCUUAAAUCUUAUCUACUCGAAUCGUAAUCAGUAUUUAGGUAUUUGAGAUCCUACCUAAAAUAUAGUUCGACAGUCUUUUCUAAAGGGCGAGUUUAGUCCUAUAGUGUGAAGUUCAAAUAUUUCAUAAAUAGAUAUGAGUUUUAUUAUUUUGAC
rnacentral:lncRNA from 1 species